rnacentral:ncRNA from 2 species
UAAAUAGCUGAUCUCCGAGCCGAGGCUACCUAAAGGGACCAUUCCCCAAGAGGCCCCGGCCAAUGGGUGCUGCCGGAAACGGCACCGCCUCCCUUUAGGAAAGGAGAACCUCCGCCGCUUGA